UUUGGACUAAGAACCAGAUCAAGAUAAAACAAAAUCAAAAUUGCAGAAAAAUUGAUGAAGUUCAGAACAUCUACAAAUCAAGAAUUUAUUUGUAAGUUCAGUUUCUUAUCGAUCACAUUAUACCCUCUCUCACCUUGUUGUUUGUCAUGAUUGGCCAUGCACACAUCUAGUAUUCGUGAAUGUUCUAGUGUCAUAACUUUAGAGGACUGGCCUG
rnacentral:lncRNA from 1 species